UGGAACGUAGCUCAAGUGGUAGAGCGGUAGACUUUUAAUCUAUUGGUUGCAGGUUCGAGCCCUGUCGUUCUAA
rnacentral:tRNA from 1 species